UAUAGAUAGCUAAGCUCGCUCGCUUCGCCAUUUAUUUAUGAUCUCUUCCUGUAGGUGAACCUGCGGAAGGAUCAUUA
rnacentral:rRNA from 1 species